rnacentral:rRNA from 1 species
CGGCUCUUCUCUCGAAGGUGCAGGGCUGUCGCUGACCUUUCAAAGGUCGUGCACGCCCGAGCGCUCUCACCACAAUCCAUUUCACCCCUUUGUGCAUCACCGCGUGGGUCCCCCUUUGCGGGACGGCUCGCGUUUUCACAUAAAACUCGAUACAGUCUAGAAUGUUUAUUUUUGCGGUAACACGCAAUCAAUACAACUUUCAACAACGGAUCUCUUGGCUCUCGCAUCGAUGAAGAACGCAGCGAAAUGCGAUACGUAAUGUGAAUUGCAGAAUUCAGUGAAUCAUCGAAUCUUUGAACGCACCUUGCGCCCCUUGGCAUUCCGAGGGGCACACCCGUUUGAGUGUCGUGAAAUUCUCAAAAUCCUUUUCUUUGAUCGGAAUAGGACUUUUGGACUUGGAGGUUCAAUGCUCGCUUUCAACCUUUGAAAGCGAGCUCCUCUCAAAUGAAUUAGUGGGGUCCGCUUUGCUGAUCCUUGACGUGAUAAAAUGUUUCUACGUUUUGGAUCUGGCACUGUUUUCUCCGCUUCCAACCGUCUCAUGGACGACGAUGGUGCUCCGGUCGCUGCCAUUCAUGGCGGGAGGCUGGACCCACAAAAAACCUUGACCUCAAAUCGGGUGAGACUACCCGCUGAACUUAAGCAUAUCAAUAAGCGGAGGAA